rfam:Epulopiscium sp. AS2M-Bin001 AS2M_MBin01_148, whole genome shotgun sequence.
GUGUGCAUAGCUCAGCUGGAUAGAGCGCCUGACUACGGAUCAGGAGGUCGAGGGUUCGAAUCCUUUUGCGCACG